UGCAUGGGGGGUGCCUAUACAUGCAGUCGAACGAGUUCUGAUUAUUGAAAGGUGCUUGCAUCUUGAUUUAAUUUUGAACGAGUGGCGGACGGGUGAGUAACACGUGGGUAACCUGCCCUUAAGUGGGGGAUAACAUUUGGAAACAGAUGCUAAUACCGCAUAAAUCCAAGAACCGCAUGGUUCUUGGCUGAAAGAUGGCGUAAGCUAUCGCUUUUGGAUGGACCCGCGGCGUAUUAGCUAGUUGGUGAGGUAACGGCUCACCAAGGCAAUGAUACGUAGCCGAACUGAGAGGUUGAUCGGCCACAUUGGGACUGAGACACGGCCCAAACUCCUACGGGAGGCAGCAGUAGGGAAUCUUCCACAAUGGACGCAAGUCUGAUGGAGCAACGCCGCGUGAGUGAAGAAGGCUUUCGGGUCGUAAAACUCUGUUGUUGGAGAAGAAUGGUCGGCAGAGUAACUGUUGUCGGCGUGACGGUAUCCAACCAGAAAGCCACGGCUAACUACGUGCCAGCAGCCGCGGUAAUACGUAGGUGGCAAGCGUUAUCCGGAUUUAUUGGGCGUAAAGCGAGCGCAGGCGGUUUUUUAAGUCUGAUGUGAAAGCCCUCGGCUUAACCGAGGAAGUGCAUCGGAAACUGGGAAACUUGAGUGCAGAAGAGGACAGUGGAACUCCAUGUGUAGCGGUGAAAUGCGUAGAUAUAUGGAAGAACACCAGUGGCGAAGGCGGCUGUCUGGUCUGUAACUGACGCUGAGGCUCGAAAGCAUGGGUAGCGAACAGGAUUAGAUACCCUGGUAGUCCAUGCCGUAAACGAUGAAUGCUAGGUGUUGGAGGGUUUCCGCCCUUCAGUGCCGCAGCUAACGCAUUAAGCAUUCCGCCUGGGGAGUACGACCGCAAGGUUGAAACUCAAAGGAAUUGACGGGGGCCCGCACAAGCGGUGGAGCAUGUGGUUUAAUUCGAAGCAACGCGAAGAACCUUACCAGGUCUUGACAUCUUUUGAUCACCUGAGAGAUCAGGUUUCCCCUUCGGGGGCAAAAUGACAGGUGGUGCAUGGUUGUCGUCAGCUCGUGUCGUGAGAUGUUGGGUUAAGUCCCGCAACGAGCGCAACCCUUAUGACUAGUUGCCAGCAUUUAGUUGGGCACUCUAGUAAGACUGCCGGUGACAAACCGGAGGAAGGUGGGGAUGACGUCAAAUCAUCAUGCCCCUUAUGACCUGGGCUACACACGUGCUACAAUGGAUGGUACAACGAGUUGCGAGACCGCGAGGUCAAGCUAAUCUCUUAAAGCCAUUCUCAGUUCGGACUGUAGGCUGCAACUCGCCUACACGAAGUCGGAAUCGCUAGUAAUCGCGGAUCAGCACGCCGCGGUGAAUACGUUCCCGGGCCUUGUACACACCGCCCGUCACACCAUGAGAGUUUGUAACACCCGAAGCCGGUGGCGUAACCCUUUUAGGGAGCGAGCCGUCUAAGGUGACAAAAUG
rnacentral:rRNA from 1 species